rnacentral:rRNA from 1 species
CACGUAGGCGCAAGGCGUGUCCGGAUUAUUGGGUCGUAAAGAGCUCGUAGGCGGUCUGUUACGUCGUGCUGUCGAAACCCAGGGCUUAACCCUGGGCUUGCAGUGGAUACGGGCAGACUAGAGGCAGGUAGGGGAGAAUGGAAUUCCCGGUGUAGCGGUGAAAUGCGCAGAUAUCGGGAGGAACACCGGUGGCGAAGGCGGGUCCUCUGGGCAGUAACUGACGCUGAGGAGCGAAAGCGUGGGGAGCGAACAGGAUUAGACUAC